AGAGUUUGAUCCUGGCUCAGAACGAACGCUUGCAGCGUGGAUUAGGCAUGCAAGUCGAACGGGAUCGGCCCGGUAGUAAUACUGGGCCGUGAGAGUGGCGGAAGGGCGAGGAGCACGUGGAUAACCUGUCCCGUGGGUGGGGAUACCGUCCCGAAAGGGGCGUUAAUACCGAAUGGGGCUUUCAGGCCGCAUGGUCUGAAAGCCAAAGGCGGGGACCGCACCGCCCCCCCCCCCGGGAGGGGUCCGCGCACCAUCAGCUAGACGGCGGGGUAACGGCCCACCGUGGCUUACGGUUAGCUGGUCUGAGAGGACGACCAGCCGCACUGGGACUGAGACACUGCCCACACUCCUACGGGAGGCUGCAGUCGAGGAUCAUUCGCAGUGGGCGGAAGCCUGACGAUGCGACGCUGCGUGGAGGAUGACCGCCCUCGGGUUGUAAACUCCUGUCACGGGGGGCGAGGCGGAGGCGGUGAACAGCCGCCCGAGUUGACGGUACCCCGAGAGGAAGCCACGGCUAACUCUGUGCCAGCAGCCGCGGUAAUACAGAGGUGGCGAGCGUUGUUCGUAUUUACUGGGCGUAAAGGGCGCGUAGGCGGCUUUUUAAUUUGGAUGUGAAAUUCCCGCGCUUAACCUGGAAGCCACAUCUUAAAACGGAAGUUGUGAGGGCUGGAGGGGAAUGGGGAAUUCCGGGUGUAGCGGUGAAAUGCUUAGUGUUUAGCAGGAACCCCAGUGGGGAGGCCGCCUUUUUGGACGAUAAUUACCGUUGAGCCUGAAAGGAGGGGGGACCUAAAAAGGUCCGUUCCCUUGUUGUUCCCCCCCGUGGCGCCCCUAAAGGGGGGGGGGGAUUCCCCCCCCCCCGUCCCGGAGCUAACGCGUUAAGCGUGCCGCCUGGGGAGUACGGCCGCAAAGGCUAAAACUCAAAGAAAUUGACGGGGGCCCGCACAAGCAGAGGGAGCAUGUGGCUUAAUUCGAUGCAACGCGAAGAACCUUACCCGGGUUUGACAUGCAGCUGCGCGUCCCGUGAAAGCGGGAUUCCUUCGAGGGUGCUGCACAGGUGCUGCAUGGCUGUCGUCAGUUCGUGCCGUGAGGUGUUUGGUUAAGUCCAGCAACGAACGCAACCCCUGUGUCCAGUUGCCAACAGGUAGUGCUGGGGACUCUGGACAGACCGCCCGUUCACGCGGGAGGAAGGUGGGGACGACGUCAAGUCAGUAUGGCCCUUACGCCCGGGGCUGCACACGUGCUACAAUGGCCGGUACAGAGGGAUGCGAGGCCGCGAGGCGGAGCCAACCCCCAAAACCGGCCCCAGUUCGGAUCGGGGUCUGCAACCCGACCCCGUGAAGUCGGAUUUGCUAGUAACGGCGCAUCAGCUACGGCGCCGUGAAUACGUUCCCGGGCCUUGCACACACCGCCCGUCA
rnacentral:rRNA from 1 species